rnacentral:rRNA from 1 species
AAACGCCCGUAGUUGGAUCAGCGGAUUUGGAGAACGGUCUGCCGAUGGGCUGUACUGUUCUCCUGUCCUAUUUUCUCUAGUUCGCUCUAGGUGCUCUUCACUGAGUGUCUAGAGUGGCUGGAACUUUUACUUUGAAAAAAUUAGAGUGCUCAAAGCAGGCGUCUCAGCCUGAAUAGUGGUGCAUGGAAUAAUGGGAUAGGACCUCAGUUCUAUUUUGUUGGUUUUCGGAACAUGAGGUAAUGAUUAAGAGGGACAGACGGGGGCAUUCGUAUUGCGACGUUAGAGGUGAAAUUCUUGGAUCGUCGCAAGACGAACUACUGCGAAAGCAUUUGCCAAGAAUGUUUUCAUUAAUCAAGGACGAUAGUUAGAGGUUCGAAGGCGAUCAGAUACCGCCCUAGUUCUAACCGUAAACGAUGUCAACCAGCGAUCCGCAGGAGUUAUUCAUGACUCUGCGGGCAGCUUCCGGGAAACCAAAGUUUUUGGAUUCCGGGAAGUAUGGUUGCAAAGCUGAAACUUAAAGGAAUUAACGGAAGGGCACCACCAGGAGUGGAGCCUGCGGCUUAAUUUGACUCAACGCGGGGAAACUCACCCGGCCCGGACACAGUAAGGAUUGACAGAUUGAGAGCUCUUUCUUGAUUCGGUGGGCAGUGGUGCAUGGCCGUUCUUAGUUGGUGGAGUGAUUUGUCUGGUUUAUUCCGAUAACGAACGAGACUCUGGCCUACUAACUAG